CAAGCCGUUUAAGCCAAAGCCGUGUCACCCUGUUACACCCAAACCGGUUAUACCUACCCCUAAGCCUAACCCUUCGCCAAGUCCUAAGCCGGUGAUACCUACCCCUAAGCCUAAGCCUAAGCCUAAGCCGGUUAUACCUACUCCUAAGCCUAAUCCUUCACCAAGUCCUAAACCCUUUAAGCCAAAUCCGUGUCACCCGAAACAUCCUUCUAAGCCGUUUAUGCCUAAUUUCCCAG
rnacentral:lncRNA from 1 species